rnacentral:rRNA from 1 species
AGAGUUUGAUCCUGGCUCAGGACGAACGCUGGCGGCGUGCCUAACACAUGCAAGUCGAGCGAUGAAGUCCCUUCGGGGAUGGAUUAGCGGCGGACGGGUGAGUAACACGUGGGUAACCUGCCUCAAAGAGGGGGAUAGCCUCCCGAAAGGGAGAUUAAUACCGCAUAACAUUAGCUUUUCGCAUGGAGAGCUAAUUAAAGGAGUAAUCCGCUUUGAGAUGGACCCGCGGCGCAUUAGCUAGUUGGUGAGGUAAAGGCUCACCAAGGCGACGAUGCGUAGCCGACCUGAGAGGGUGAUCGGCCACAUUGGAACUGAGACACGGUCCAGACUCCUACGGGAGGCAGCAGUGGGGAAUAUUGCACAAUGGGCGAAAGCCUGAUGCAGCAACGCCGCGUGAGUGAUGAAGGCCUUCGGGUUGUAAAGCUCUGUCUUUGGGGACGAUAAUGACGGUACCCAAGGAGGAAGCCACGGCUAACUACGUGCCAGCAGCCGCGGUAAUACGUAGGUGGCGAGCGUUGUCCGGAUUUACUGGGCGUAAAGGAUGCGUAGGUGGAUGUUUAAGUCAGAUGUGAAAUACCCGAGCUUAACUUGGGUGCUGCAUUUGAAACUGGAUAUCUAGAGUGCAGGAGAGGUAAGUGGAAUUCCUAGUGUAGCGGUGAAAUGCGUAGAGAUUAGGAAGAACACCAGUGGCGAAGGCGACUUACUGGACUGUAACUGACACUGAGGCAUGAAAGCGUGGGUAGCAAACAGGAUUAGAUACCCUGGUAGUCCACGCCGUAAACGAUGAGUACUAGGUGUAGGGGGGUCCAACCUUCUGUGCCGCAGUUAACACAAUAAGUACUCCGCCUGGGAAGUACGAUCGCAAGAUUAAAACUCAAAGGAAUUGACGG